rnacentral:rRNA from 1 species
UACGAAGGGGGCUAGCGUUGCUCGGAAUCACUGGGCGUAAAGCGCACGUAGGCGGACUCUUAAGUCGGUGGUGAAAUCCUGGAGCUCAACUCCAGAACUGCCUUCGAUACUGGGAGUCUUGAGUCCGAGAGAGGUGAGUGGAACUGCGAGUGUAGAGGUGAAAUUCGUAGAUAUUCGGAAGAACACCAGUGGCGAAGGCGACACACUGGCCCGUUACUGACGCUGAGGCGCGAAAGCGUGGGGAGCAAACAGG